GGUGUUUCACGCGCUUUUUGUGUUUGCAGUGUUUUUUCUAAAUUUUUCAUCAUCGGCAUUACAUUUCGAUCAAGUUUGUAGUGAUAGUCCGCUGAUGAUUUGUCAAAAACAGCAUGGAGUGCUAAAACAUGUCAGUGGAAAGCCAUUUCCUUCAGUCAAAACAAUCGUUGUUAAAGGUGGCGAUAUACUCAUUGCAGUAAAACUAUUUCCUGAGUUGUCAAGGAUUGUUGGACAGAGUGUGUCAUGCAAUUCAUUAAUUUUUGGCGAUACGAAUGAUCUCAUCACCAUUAAUGGUCAUAUGUGUUCAACCAAGACAACAUCGGACUUCCCCAGCCUGUCACCUACACAAAUCCGAUCAUCAACAUCAUCUGUUAAAACCCAGACAACCAAGACAUCAUGGAACUUGUCUAGACUGCUGACUACACAAAUACGAUAAUCAAAGUCAUCUUUUGAACACAAGAGUAAGUGAAUGUUACUAAUAUACUCACAAUGAAUAACGUUGUUGCUUUAAAAGGUACAUUGGUAAUAUUUAAUCAUAGAAAUUAUUUGUUUCCAAAAAUUAACAUAAUAUUUAAUCAUAGAAAUUAUUUGUUACCAAAAUUAUCAUAAUUUAUCAUCUUUAGUUAACAAGACAAAGAAUCUUGACUCUUUACACAAAGGUAAAUAUUCCU
rnacentral:misc_RNA from 1 species